GAUUGAGAAGAAACUUCCAGCCUCCAUGGAGGUCCAGAAGGUGAAGGGACUCCUGUACCGACUGCUGAAGGUUCCUGCUGCAGAUCUGAAGCUCACCUACGCCAGCCUCAAGAAAGUUGGGACGGAGUUUGAGAUCGACAGCGACCUGAAGACUCUACA